CCACCUAAAAAAAUGAAAACCUAAUGAAGUAUGAGCUUAACAGAUUCCAAAUAAUCUUAAGCGCCUGGGACCCUUGCCUUACCCUAUAUAAAGAAUAAAAACUCAUUAAGAAGUAACUUUCACAUUUCUGGUGAAGACUUUAAAGCGAAUUGCGAUGUUUCAAAAGAUGACCUUUUGCCUGCAACAUCCUCCAUGGAUUACUGAGUGUGAAUCACAAAGGGUGAAAGUUCUCAAAUCACAUCGUUCUACAAUGUGGCCCAGAUCAUGAAGUUUGUCCUCAGAUAUAUGUUGCUUGAGCGUAUGGGUAUGCUAGAUUAUCAAUGAUUCACAUUGUGCACCAGAUUCAGUCAUGCAUUUUGCCACAAUUCGCUAGAUCCUUUGUGAUGGGUUGGGUUCCUCCAGUGGAGUAGCAUGGGGAAGUUUAAUGUUUCAUGGUAAGGUUGAUAUCACCUCGAUGAUUCUCUCGUCUUUUUCUUUGCAGAUUUUAAGUAUGGUUUCAAGAUGUGUGAACUUGUAUCUGUAAUGUAAAAUGAUUUGAGUUUUAUAGUUUUGCUAGAGUAAUGUAAGUGAACUUGUACUAAUUCUAAUUACUUGGAGGAUUAUUUUAUGUAUAAUUAGUAUUUUUUAAAUUAAAUAUUUGACUCCUUUUGGAGGAUUAUUUUAUGUAAAAUUGCUAUUUUUUAAAGUAAAUAUCUAACUCUUUUUAGAUCAGA